CCUGCCCUGGAGACCGGGAUAACAUCGGGAAACCGUUGCUAAUACCGGAUGCCCUCAUCGGAUCGCAUGAUCUGAUGAGGAAAUGGAUUCCGCUCCAGGAUGGCCUCGCGGCCUAUCAGCUUGUUGGUGGGGUAACGGCCCACCAAGGCUUCGACGGGUAGCUGGUCUGAGAGGAUGUCCAGCCACACUGGGACUGAGACACGGCCCAGACUCCUACGGGAGGCAGCAGUGGGGAAUCUUGCGCAAUGGGCGAAAGCCUGACGCAGCGAUGCCGCGUGCGGGAUGAAGGCCUUCGGGUUGUAAACCGCUUUCAGCAGGGACGAAAUUGACGGUACCUGCAGAAGAAGCCCCGGCCAACUAUGUGCCAGCAGCCGCGGUAAUACGUAGGGGGCGAGCGUUGUCCCGGAUUUAUUGGGCGUAAAGAGCUCGUAGGCGGUUCGAUAAGUCGGAUGUGAAAUCUCCACGCUUAACGUGGAGGGUGCAUUCGAUACUGUCGUGACUAGAGUCCGGUAGAGGGGUGUGGAAUUCCUGGUGUAGCGGUGAAAUGCGCAGAGAUCAGGAGGAACACCCGUAGCGAAGGCGGCACUCUGGGGCCGGAACUGACGCUGAGGAGCGAAAGCGUGGGUAGCGAACAGGAUUAGAUACCCUGGUAGUCCACGCCGUAAACGUUGGGCACUAGGUGUGGGACUCUAUCGACSGGGUUCCGUGCCGUAGCUAACGCAUUAAGUGCCCCGCCUGGGGGAGUACGGGCCGCAAGGCUAAAACUCAAAGGAAUUGACGGGGGCCCGCACAAGCGGCGGAGCAUGUGGCUUAAUUCGAUGCAACGCGAAGAACCUUACCUGGGUUGAACUAUGCAGGAAAAGCCGUAGAGAUACGGUGUCCUUCGGGGCCUGUGAUAGGUGGUGCAUGGCUGUCGUCAGCUCGUGUCRUGAGAUGUUGGGUUAAGUCCCGCAACGAGCGCAACCCUUAUCCUAUGUUGCCAGCGCGUUAUGGCGGGGACUCGUARGAGACUNCCGGUGCCAAACCGGAGGAARGGUGGGGAUGACGUCAAGUCAUCAUGCCCCUUACGUCCAGGGCUGCACACGUGCUACAAUGRCCGGUACAAAGGGUUGCUACUCCGCGAGGAGACGCCAAUCCCAAAAAGCCGGUCUA
rnacentral:rRNA from 1 species